rnacentral:lncRNA from 1 species
GACGAAAAUAGCACCGUCUUACGCCAAUAUGUUCAUGGGCAAAUUAGAAAAACAAAUUAUUGCAGCAUCUUUAUCCAAACCUCUGUCUUGGUUCCGUUUCAUUGAUGAUGUUGACAUGAAAUGGAUUGAAUCACAACAAAAACUGGAUGAUUUCAUCAGACAUGCAAACAACGUUCAUCAUUCAAUUAAAUUAACGUAUGAAAUUUCCGACUGUAAAUAGUUAUCAAAAGUACCAGGAUUAUAAUUUUAUACGCCAGACGCGCGUUUCGUCUACAUAAGACUCAUCAGUGACGCUCAGAUCAAAAUAGUUUGAAAGCCAAACAAAUACAAAGUUGAAGAGCAUUGAGGAC